ACGUCACCCGGUUCAUUGGAACCUGACGGGAAAUCGCCGAGCAAAUAAACGGAUUGGAUUAUCUUGGCUUGAUGAGCGUUCACCGAAAACUUGGAUGAGUAAUAUGCGAAGAGAGUUGUUUGUGUCCCCCUACCUGGCGCGCCAAUUGUUGAUUCUGAAAAUCACACAAUAAAUUUGUUUAAAGGGGGUAAACAAAUUUACUUAACUCUCUCGCUAUUUAGUGACCAAAGAUUCAAUGAAAAGAAGAACAAGGUUGCUUAGAGACAAAGUUAGGGUUUUGCCCAAGAACAAUGAAGAAAACUAGGGUUUUUAGUAUUAAAUUUCGGAUCCUUAGAAUAGAGGACAAACCCCUCUAUUUAUACACUAUUAAGACGGUUAAAAGAGUUGUUAAACUUUUAUUUCUUCGAGGAUUGAAUCUUCUAAUUUCCUUUAUCUCCAAAGACUUCCUAUUUUCAAAGGAGAAAACUUCUUUUUCUUCGAAUUAGGAAGUCGGCUAGACGGUCUCCCUACUUCGGGCUAAAGUUGGCAAAUGACCUCCUUAUUUUGGCCCAUUAACAGGCUAAACCGGGAUACCCCGGUUUGAUUGAAAUCUCAGUCUAAUUCGUAGUUCCUCUGGUUUAAGCCGGUAUUGUCGGAGGUGCUAAUUCCGGCACCAACACCAUACCGCAUUGUGUUUGGACUUGAUCCCCGUUGGCAGUCCGGUGACGAAAUCCAUCGUUAUGUGGUCCCACUUCCAUUCCGGUAUAGGUAGGUUUUGUAACAACCCACUUGGUACUUGAUGCUCCGCUUUGACCAGUUGACAAGUCGGGCACUUGGCCACCCAUCUGGCCACGUCUUUCUUCAUUCCUACCCAAUGGUAGUACCUUUUAAGGUCGCGGUACAUCUUGUUCGACCCAGGAUGGAUUGAGAACUUCGAUUGAUGGGCCUCUCUUAGGAUCUCCUCCUUUAAUGCCCUAUCGUUCGGCACACAUACUCGACCGUUCACCACGAUUGUACCAUUGUUCGAGGUUUGGUACUCGGUCUUAUUGUUUAGUGCCCAUCCUUUUAUCUCCUCGUCCCGUUCCUGAGCCAGCCGGAUCCUACUAAGCAGGUCGGCCUGAUCGGCGGCUCCCAACCCUAAGGGUUCAACUUCUUUAGACAAGGCAUUCACAUGCAAUGUCCCCAUCAUGUUAACCAAGUCCACUUGGCUCCGUUCCGCCUCAACUUCCGAACGCCUCCUACUCAGGGCGUCGGCGACUUGGUUGGCCUUGCCCGGAUGGUACGCUAUAUCCAAGUCGUAAUCCGCCACAAGUUCCAUCCACCUUCUUUGCCUUAGAUUCAACUCCGGCUGGGUGAAUAUGUACUUUAGGCUUUUGUGGUCAGUAUAGAUUUGAACUUUAGCACCAUACAAGUAUGAUCGCCAAAUCUUCAAGGCAAAUACUACCGCGGCCAUUUCCAAAUCAUGUGUAGGGUAGUUCUUCUCAUGUUUCCGCAAUUGCCUUGAUGCGUAUGCGAUAACACUCCCCUUUUGCAUCAGUACGCAUCCUAGUCCCACUAUUGAUGCGUCCGUAUAAACCGUAUAUGGCUCACCUUCCUCCGGUAAGACCAAUACUGGUGCAUUAGUCAACAUGGCCUUUAACUCCAGGAAGCUUUUCUCGCAUUCAUCCGACCAGUUGAAUGCGGUGUCUUUUCCGGUCAGUCGAGACAAGGGUUGGGCCAUGCUCGCAAAACUCCUUACGAACCUUCGGUAAUACCCCGCUAGUCCGAGAAAACUCCUAAUCUCGGUGGCAAUCCUUGGUCGUGGCCACUCCUUUAUCGACCGUAUUUUCUCCGGAUCAACCGACACUCCUUGGUCCGAGAUAACAUGACCAAGAAAACCAACGCUUCUUUGCCAAAAUGAGCAUUUACUUAACUUU
rnacentral:sRNA from 1 species